AGGCGAUGAAAACCUAGAUGUCGAUGGUCGACAUUGAUGAAGACGGUUAAUGUAAGUAGAGGCUUACAAUUUUGUUUUUAGCAGCCCAAAAUAUUAUACUUUGAAACCCAACAAUCAAAACCGGUAAAGUCCAUAGUUCAAACGACUUUAAUGAAAAUCAGACACGUGUCGUCGCCUCCUUGCCUUAUUUUCUGAGGUGACAGCAGGAGAAGAGAGUUCCCUUCAGCAUUAAAGUAUCUUUCUUUUCUUCUAGGUGGUGGUUCACCCACUAUAAAUAGGUGAGGCUUCAUCCGGUGAACAUCAUCCCUACAAAUCCUAAUAACUCUUGAAACUUUUAUACAGUAAAAUGAUUUUGGUUAUGUUUAUUGGUUUUUGUUUGUUGAUGUAAGAUGAUUUGGGGUGGAGGUGUUGAGAACCCAGAAGAUAGUCAGUUCCCAUGUUUAUUAAAAAACAGUUUGUAAUUUUUCUCAUCUAGCUCCCGAGUCUGCUACGACGGAUCUUGAUCAGCUGCAGUCGACGUCUUCAUCCUACGUUAUCAUAUCGCUUGGGUUCUUGAUCAUUCCUUACUGCAGAUUCAUCACCGUCAAAGCCGCUUUUAACAAUUUCGCAGCGAGACGACUUCACCAGAAUGAAUUUUUGUGUAUAAGAUGAGAAGUGUUGCAUAUCAAGCUAAGAAGAGAUGCAACAAUGUACAAUUAGUGGAAGAGACUGUAGUUCACCGCCAAGCCCGUGAUUUGCAAUCAAAAUACUGCUGAGAUCUUUAUUGAUGAUGAAGACUUAUGAGAAUGAUGGACCAGAUUGAAGCUUUAGUCAGGACAGAAAGAGACAGAGGAUACUCUAAUUCUGAAGGGAACUGUGUUGAAUAUGUUAGAGACAAGGCAGUCAAGGUGCAGAUCAAACAUUGGUUUAAUGUUUAGGAAAAUGAUCAAGAUCAAAUGUUGGUUUAACGUUUUAGGAACGUGAGCAAGAUCAAAUGAAAAUUUUGAAGAAGAGUCAGCCAUUGCAAGUCUGGAAAAGGGCACACAGCUUCAAGACGCCAUCAGUAAAUGUAACAAAUAUACAAUAAUUAUAAGAUCAUUUGUAUUGCUUUCCAUCGGUCGCUUACAAUGACGUUGUGAGUCUAAAAUGCAUAGGCCAGACCAACAUUUGAAUUAAAAGGGAUAUGCAGAGAGUAUUAGAAAGUUGAGUGCCCUAUAAAUAGGAUAUCUUUUAUCUCUUAGUUGAUUCUUUAUUGAUGUGAGUUAUAAAACAUGGUUGUCCUCGA